AUUGAACGCUGGCGGCAGGCCUAACACAUGCAAGUCGAGCGGAUGAGGAGAGCUUGCUCUCUGAUUUAGCGGCGGACGGGUGAGUAAUGCCUAGGAAUCUGCCUGGUAGUGGGGGAUAACGUCCGGAAACGGGCGCUAAUACCGCAUACGUCCUACGGGAGAAAGCAGGGGACCUUCGGGCCUUGCGCUAUCAGAUGAGCCUAGGUCGGAUUAGCUAGUGGGUGAGGUAAUGGCUCACCAAGGCCACGAUCCGUAACUGGUCGGAGAGGAUGAUCAGGCACACUGGAACUGAGACACGGUCCAGACUCCUACGGGAGGCAGCAGUGGGGAAUAUUGAACAAUGGGCGAAAGCCUGAUCCAGCCAUGCCGCGUGUGUGAAGAAGGUCUUCGGAUUGUAAAGCACUUUAAGUUGGGAGGAAGGGCAGUAAGUUAAUACCUUGCUGUUUUGACGUUACCGACAGAAUAAGCACCGGCUAACUUCGUGCCAGCCGCCGCCGUAAUAC
rnacentral:rRNA from 1 species